rnacentral:rRNA from 1 species
CCUACGGGUGGCAGCAGUGGGGAAUAUUGGACAAUGGGGGGAACCCUGAUCCAGCCAUGCCGCGUGUGUGAAGAAGGCCCUCGGGUUGUAAAGCACUUUCAGUGAGGAAGAACGCCUGGUGGUUAAUACCCAUCAGGAAAGACAUCACUCACAGAAGAAGCACCGGCUAACUCCGUGCCAGCAGCCGCGGUAAUACGGAGGGUGCGAGCGUUAAUCGGAAUUACUGGGCGUAAAGCGCGCGUAGGUGGCUUGAUAAGCCGGUUGUGAAAGCCCCGGGCUCAACCUGGGAACGGCAUCCGGAACUGUCAAGCUAGAGUGCAGGAGAGGAAGGUAGAAUUCCCGGUGUAGCGGUGAAAUGCGUAGAGAUCGGGAGGAAUACCAGUGGCGAAGGCGGCCUUCUGGACUGACACUGACACUGAGGUGCGAAAGCGUGGGUAGCACACAGGAUUAGAUACCCGAGUAGUA